AUCUAUAUAUAUUAUAUAUAUAUAUAUAUAUAUAUAUGUGAAGGCGCAUGGCUCAUUGGUCAGAGCGUCGGGCUCACAAUCAUGAGGUAGUGAGUUCGAUUCCCAGACAGGGCUAUAUGUUGUUUUCUUGAGCAAGACACUUUAUUUCACUUUGAUCCAGUUCACUCAGCUAUAGAAAUG